UGUAACUGACCUGACCUAAUCGACCAUUUUAAUUAAUUAGGCAUUCACGAACACACAACAAAAUAAAAUAAAAAUGCGUUUUUUCACCUAAACAAAAGAAUUCCGAAGUCACCCGAAGGCAGAUAUUCGGUAAUGUUCGGGCAUGUCGAAUACUCGGUGUGAAUCGUAGGCUUCCCCAGGACGGGGGCGGGCUCGGGUCUGCGCGCCGUGUCGUGGCACCACUGGCUCUCUGUGCCGCCUUCUUUCGCGACGCUAGGACAUCCGUGCGGCAUUUGCUAGGAGUCGUUCCGUGGAAAAAUUGAAAAGGUGUCGAUGAAAACGAAAUUUGACCAUACCUUGGCGGACCCACGCAUAGAACAUUAAACCCGCAUAUAAAUUCAAGUCGCAUCAGUACUCGAGAAUAAGAGUGGAUCUGUGUGAGCCCAAGUUAUUUUUGAAAUUAUAUUUUCCGUCCCUCACACCUCGUCAUACCUUCUUCGCCCCAUGCGUGGCUAUUGUUGAGGUGGGCUUCAGUACAACGUCACGUAAUUGGACUCCGCUCAACAUUCCCAGAGAGGCACAAGAAAGAAAUCUGCAUGUUUCAAGCCUACAUACUUGGUAAUAUUGCUGGUAUACUGUAAAGAGUUAUUUGACAGUAAAAUUUUUCUGUCUUCGUUUGUGAAGAGUGAAGGCGAAAUGCGGGACAAUGUGUACAUAUGUAAUGUGCAAUAUGUAAAUACGUAAUAUAAUUUUUUUUUUCAUUUACAUGUGUUCAAGUUUUUAGAAGUUCAAGAAGAGAAUGCUUGUGCGCUGUGAAAGUUGAAACAAUAAACAAACAUUAAAUCGUUUGAAGAAA